rnacentral:rRNA from 1 species
AGUGAACGCUGGCGGUAGGCCUAACACAUGCAAGUCGAACGGCAGCACAGUAAGAGCUUGCUCUUACGGGUGGCGAGUGGCGGACGGGUGAGGAAUACAUCGGAAUCUACUUUUUCGUGGGGGAUAACGUAGGGAAACUUACGCUAAUACCGCAUACGACCUACGGGUGAAAGCAGGGGAUCUUCGGACCUUGCGCGAUUGAAUGAGCCGAUGUCGGAUUAGCUAGUUGGCGGGGUAAAGGCCCACCAAGGCGACGAUCCGUAGCUGGUCUGAGAGGAUGAUCAGCCACACUGGAACUGAGACACGGUCCAGACUCCUACGGGAGGCAGCAGUGGGGAAUAUUGGACAAUGGGCGCAAGCCUGAGCCAGACAUACCGCGUGGGUGAAGAAGGCCUUCGGGUUGUAAAGCACUUUUGUUGGGAAAGAAAAGCAGCAGGUUAAUACCCCGCUGUUCUGACGGUACCCAAAGAAUAAGCACCGGCUAACUUCGUG